rnacentral:tRNA from 1 species
GCCUAGGUGGCUCAGUUGGUUAAGCGUCUGCCUUUGGCUCAGGUCAUGACCCCAGAAUGUGGGAUGGAGUCCCACAUUGGGCU